rnacentral:tRNA from 5 species
GGCGUAGCUCAGUUGGUAGAGCAGCUGACUUGUAAUCAGCCGGUCGGGGGUUCGACUCCUCUCGCC